UACGUAGGGUCCGAGCGUUGUCCGGAAUUACUGGGCGUAAAGAGCUCGUAGGUGGUUUGUCGCGUUGUUCGUGAAAACUCACAGCUCAACUGUGGGCGUGCGGGCGAUACGGGCAGACUGGAGUACUGCAGGGGAGACUGGAAUUCCUGGUGUAGCGGUGGAAUGCGCAGAUAUCAGGAGGAACACCGGUGGCGAAGGCGGGUCUCUGGGCAGUAACUGACGCUGAGGCGCGAAAGCGUGGGUAGCAAACGGG
rnacentral:rRNA from 1 species